UUCCUACGGGGGGCAGCAGUGAGGAAUAUUGGUCAAUGGACGAGAGUCUGAACCAGCCAAGUAGCGUGAAGGAUGACUGCCCUAUGGGUUGUAAACUUCUUUUAUAUGGGAAUAAAACAGGGUAUGCAUACCCUCUUGUAUGUACCAUAUGAAUAAGGAUCGGCUAACUCCGUGCCAGCAGCCGCGGUAAUACGGAGGAUCCGAGCGUUAUCCGGAUUUAUUGGGUUUAAAGGGUGCGUAGGCGGCAUUAUAAGUUAGUGGUAAAAUAUUGGGGCUUCACCUCACUACGCCAUUAAUAAUGUAGA
rnacentral:rRNA from 1 species